rnacentral:rRNA from 1 species
AGUGAAACUGCGAAUGGCUCAUUAAAUCAGUUAUCGUUUAUUUGAUAGUACCUUACUACUUGGAUAACCGUGGUAAUUCUAGAGCUAAUACAUGCUAAAAACCUCGACUUCGGAAGGGGUGUAUUUAUUAGAUAAAAAACCAAUGCCCUUCGGGGCUCCUUGGUGAUUCAUGAUAACUUAACGAAUCGCAUGGCCUUGUGCCGGCGAUGGUUCAUUCAAAUUUCUGCCCUAUCAACUUUCGAUGGUAGGAUAGUGGCCUACCAUGGUUUCAACGGGUAACGGGGAAUUAGGGUUCUAUUCCGGAGAGGGAGCCUGAGAAACGGCUACCACAUCCAAGGAAGGCAGCAGGCGCGCAAAUUACCCAAUCCCGACACGGGGAGGUAGUGACAAUAAAUACUGAUACAGGGCUCUUUUGGGUCUUGUAAUUGGAAUGAGUACAAUUUAAAUCCCUUAACGAGGAACAAUUGGAGGGCAAGUCUGGUGCCAGCAGCCGCGGUAAUUCCAGCUCCAAUAGCGUAUAUUAAAGUUGUUGCAGUUAAAAAGCUCGUAGUUGAACCUUGGGCCUGGCUGGCCGGUCCGCCUCACCGCGUGCACUGGUCCGGCCGGGCCUUUCCUCCUGGGGAGCCGCAUGCCCUUCACUGGGUGUGUCGGGGAACCAGGACUUUUACUUUGAAAAAAUUAGAGUGUUCAAAGCAGGCCUAUGCUCGAAUACAUUAGCAUGGAAUAAUAGAAUAGGACGUGUGGUUCUAUUUUGUUGGUUUCUAGGACCGCCGUAAUGAUUAAUAGGGAUAGUCGGGGGCAUCAGUAUUCAAUUGUCAGAGGUGAAAUUCUUGGAUUUAUUGAAGACUAACUACUGCGAAAGCAUUUGCCAAGGAUGUUUUCAUUAAUCAGUGAACGAAAGUUAGGGAUC